rnacentral:rRNA from 1 species
GUGCUCAAGUAAAAGAUUAAGCCAUGCAUGUAUUAAGUAAAUAUUUGAAACUGCGCACGGCUCAUUAGAGCUUAUNAAAAACUUUUGGGUGCCUCCUUUGGCAUAUCUUCGAAAAAUUGAAGCUAAUACAUGCAUACAUGUUCGAUUCGUCGGACGGAAUAUUAGAACUACUGGCUUGCUGGUGGUUGACUUCAAUUAUCGUAGAAUAUCGGCUGGGUGACCACCGAUGCCCUCAAGUUGUGUACGCCCUAUCACCCAGCAGGCAGUUUAUUGGACCGCCGGGGGUAUAACGGGUAACGGAGAACUAGGGUUCGUCUCCGGAGAAGAAGCCUUCGAAAGGCUACUACAUCCAAGGAAGGCAGCAGGCGCGUAACUUAUCCACUACAUUAGUGAGAUAGUAACUAGUCUUAACUAUUUAGAGGCUUUUUAAGUUUCUAAUGGUCCAUGAGUUGAGCCUAAAUAGCUCUUCGAGGACCAAGUGGAGGGCAAGUCUGGUGCCAGCAGCCGCGGUAAUUCCAGCUCCACUAGCGUAAAAUAUUACUGCUGCGGUUAAAAAGCUCGUAGUUGAAUCUAGUCGGUCCUGUUUGCUUGUCAUUGGCGUUUAUUCGUCUUUGGCGUUAGUAUUCAGCCGAUUUUUGCUGGUUUUCCGUUGGUCUUCGGAUCUUCGGUGGCCAGCGAGUUACUUUGAUCAAAUCAGAGUGCUCAAAACAGGCGAAAGCUUGUAUGAUUUCUCGAGGAAUAACAGAAGAGGACUUCGGUUCUAUUUGUUGGUUCCAGAAUCGUUUAAUGGUUAAGAGGGACAAUUCGGGGGCAAACGUAUCCUCGCGCGAGGGGUGAAAUCCGUAGACCGUGAGGAGACGACCAAUAGCGAAAGCAUUUGCCAAGAAUGUCUCCAUUAAUCAAGAACGAAAGUCAGAGGUUCGAAGGCGAUUAGAUACCGCCCUAGUUCUGACCGUAAACUAUACCAGCUCAUGACAAGACGGGUCGUAAUGUCCUCGUCGGGUCGCCCCCGGAAACGAAAGUUUUCGGUUCCGGGGGGAGUAUGGUUGCAAAGCUGAAACUUAAAGAAAUUGACGGAAGGGCACCACCAGGAGUGGAGCCUGCGGCUUAAUUAGACUCAACACUGGGAAGCUCACCCGGUCUGGACACUCUGAGGAUUGACGGAAUCUCGAAGCUCCUUCUCGAUUUAGUGGCUGGUGGUGCAUGGCCGUUCUUAGUUGGUGGAGUGAUCUGUCUGGUUUAUUCCGGUAACGAUCGAGACUCCAGCCAACUCAAUAGUUACUGGACGUUUACGUCUAGUUAACUUCUUAGAGGGAUUAGUGGCAUAAAGUCACACGAGAAGGAGCGAUAACAGGUCUGUGAUGCCCUUAGAUGUCCGGGGCUGCACGCGCGCCACACUGGGAGAAUCACUAGGUGUUCCAUUGCCGAAAGGUAUUGGUAAUCCUUUUGAACCUCUCCCCGUGACCGGGAUAGGGAUUUGUAAUUAUUUCCCUUGAACGAGGAAUUCCUAGUAAGUGUGAGUCAUCAACUCACGUUGAUUGCGUCCCUGCCCUUUGUACACACCGC